GUGUAAAGUACGAGGUAGAAGCCACAUUGGAGGAGUUCUCGCUUUAGCUUGUUUCUCUUUUGCUUUGUUUCAACACGAGUAGAUAUCUAUUUAGAAAUAAUGUCAGGUCAAGAGACGUCUCACUUGGAGGGACUCCGCCGCAGUCCAACGUAGGCACAGAAAGGUGGCUGUUCUCGUUGCUGAUGGGGAACGGUCUUUGCUGUUCGGUUGUACUUUGUCACUUCCAUUUAAGCGACUAGUUCGCGUUUUGACGAACCUUACAGUUUUUCAGAGGUUGAAAUGGACGUCUUAAAAAGACACACAAGGCUAAGCAGGUCUAGAGGACAAGUUAUUUAUUGUAAGCCAUCCCGAGACGUUCUGUAGGAGACGGGAUAGAAAAGCUUUUAAUAAAUAGAGGAAGAGGACAACACAAUAGUGCUGAGAAAUAGAUACAGACUGUAUCGUUAGCAGUACAUUCGAGAAAGUUAAAACUAGAAGAUGAAAAGAAAACGGGGGUUUGGGUGUGUUCAGAAAUAAGGGGUUUCACGUUUUCUUUGUAAAUAGGCUGCUGAAUCUCGAACCUGUAAAUUUUUAAGCGGGAAAACAAGUUCUACAAGUCCCAGUAUGCUCCAGCGAGCUACUGGCUGUGUCAUGCUGGGAGCUGGACUUUUUUCUGUCUGAACAUGCAUAGGCUUGAACACUUACAUACCUAUGGGCUAUCUCUAGCGAUCUUCUCCUUUUAUAUACUUGAUCUGCAAAAGUCUGCUUUGUUUUACUUCAUUAUCUGUCCAUAUAUAUAGUAGUGAGUAAUCAGUCACACAACUCGUGUUAUGUAUGAACAUGUUAUGUAUGAACAUGCACUUGUGUUUAGUUAAUUCGUUUGUUGUAAGUCAAUAUAUAUCAUGUCUCUCCAUAUACCUUAUGUGUCUUAGAAUAUAAAAGUGAAAAACAAUUUCAGAAAAUAUAAAUUUUAAAACUAGCCUGAAACUAAAUGUGGAAAGGGCAGCAGGUCAAUUAUAAAGCUUAUACAGGGUGGACUACAAGUAGAUAUACAGUACUGAUUGGGUCAUGUUUAGUCUCUUAGGUGCACUAAGUGUCCUCCAUCAGUGUUGCAACCUGUUCCUGGAACCUGUCCCUGACAUUGUGACUCAUAAGCACCAGUGCAGAUAAGUGCUUCCAAGAUUAACUCCUUCAGCUCAUCCACUAUGUGAGAUCUUCAGUGAUGCAAUCAGUACUGUAUACCUACUUUUGGCUCACUCUGUAGAUUGAAUGCAAAAUAGAGUUGUAGCUUCAGAAGGUGACAAAAGCCUAAAAAGAUGGAUUGCUUGGGAAAGGGAAUUAACCUAGAUGCAGAUUAAGAAAAGUCCUUAAUAUGAAUUCCAUAAUAUAUUUAUUGAGAUACUACUUUCCAUCCAUUUCCUGUUUUGUACUAUUGAUGAAUUUGACUAAGCUUAUGCCAUAAAAUGUUCGUUUUUAAAGAGAUUUGGUUUUGCUGCAACAAGGGCAUCAUGACUACCCUCUGAAAAUUGUUACUAUUUGGUAACAGUUUUAGUGAACAGAAGUCAAAAUUUUUAAUAAUUGACUGAUAGAGCAAAGGGUUCAGCACUGUUAGAUGCUUUCCUUUAUCUGAAAUGGAAGCAACCAGAAUAGUUUGGCUAUACAAGUACCUGCCUGGAGGAAUGUUGUCCAUGGGGUCAUGAUUGGUCGGACAUGACUUUUGCAACUUACAUAACAUAGACAAUAAUCAAUCUUGG